rnacentral:misc_RNA from 1 species
GAUGAAGAACGUAUCGAAAUGCGAUAAGUAAUGUGAAUUGCAGAAUUCAGUGAAUCAUCGAAUCUUUGAACGCACAUUGCGCCCGGGAGCAUUCUCCCGGGCAUGCCUGUUCGAGCGUCAUUUCAACCCUCGAUUUCCCUUUGGGGAAGUCGGCCGUUGGAGAUCGGCAGCACUGCCGGCUCCCAAAUACAGUGGCGACCCGCCGCGGGGACCCCUGCGUAGUAACUUACACUCGCACCGGAAACCAGACGUGUCACGCCGUAAAACCCCCAACUUUCUGAACGUUGACCUCGGAUCAGGUAGGAAUACCCGCUGAACUUAAGCAUAUCAAUAAGCGGAGGA